rnacentral:rRNA from 1 species
GAGUACGUGAAACCGUUUAGGGGUAAACCUGAGAAACCCGAAAGGUCGAAGGGGGAAAUUCAUUCGCGUUUCGUAAUCGGCGUCGAGCAGUCGUGCGACGAGAACGUUUCGUUUUCGCGCUGUCAGUUCGUCGAUCCGGAAACGAACGCGUGCACUUUUCCCCUGGUAGGACGUCGCGAUCCGUUGAGUGUCGGUCUAAGACGCGCGGUGGAGCCCGUUUGUCGUUUCUCACGAAACGUUUACGAACGGACCCGUGCGAUCCGGCCGACUCGCUCGACGGUAUACGAAUGGUUAAGGGCCGCUUAUUGAAGCGUUCGGCUCGCGUCAAGCGCGUUAGAUGUUGUCGUCAAUCGGACCCGGUGCCGAUUGUGACCUCUGAUGACUGUUGGACGCGAAGUUCUCGAACAGACCCUCGCUGCGUGCAAACGCGGAACCGAUCUGCGACGCUAUAGCUUUGGGUAAUUUCAGG